AAAGACCCGGAGAAGGCCGAGAUGUCCUCAAUUUCCUUCUUUUCUACUUACUCCUUUAAACAUCUCAGCAACUGCCUGUCAUGUCUCCAGAAUUACAUCGGCCUCCCUUGAAGUAUGAUGUCAAGUCAACUCCUCACUGUGUUCACACUUCUGAAAAUCUCCGUCCUUUUCCCUGCUGAGAUCAUUUGCUCCAGGAGAAGCUGGUUGCCAUGUCUUGAGGACAGUAAACCCUCUGGGGAGGUUCCCGUGGUAAGGAGCCAGGGGUCCUGGCAAUAGCCUCCGAGUGAGCCACCUUGAGAAUGGAUUGUCCAGCCCCAGUCAAGCUUUCAGAUGACUGUAGCCCCUGCCAAUGUCUUCACCACAACCUCAUGAGAUCCCAAGCUACAACCACUCAGAACUUCACCUUUUGAGAAGCACCAGGGACAGAUACCUGUGCCUGGCAGAAGCUGUCCAUGCCCCACUGAUACCCCACAGUACUUCCUGUUCUGCUCAGUACUCCUGCUUCUUUCUAUAAACAACUGUGAUUCUCCACCUGGGAGCUUCCUCUGGCCACAGGAGCCUGCUCACCUGAUUGGGACACCACAGCAGUACUGGACCAUUGAUUUGGGGGUCUAGCACUAGCUCUGUUUCUACACUCCUGCUGCUGCCUGACAGAGAUGCCUCUCUCAUUUUGCACUCCAAGGUAAAGGAAGAAGAGACUGGGUCACGGGAAUGCUUUAAUGUAGAAACCCUGAAUUCAUUCCACACAUCUGCCUUCUGGGGACACAGGUAAAUGAGGCUGAGUAGUGAAGCGGGAAGUUCCUGAAAAUGUGACAGCAAGCCCCUGUCCGCUGCCAGACCGAAGACAGGGAGGCGCUCAUUGUAGCUAGAACUUACAGUAUGUAGAAUAAAAGUCGUGAAAGCCAACAUCAGUAUUUGUUCCUGAUCUUGGAUGGAAAGCAUUGUCUUUCACUAGUAACUUGUGAAACUUGAGGCUGGUCUUUCAAAUAUUUUUCAGACUUUGCACUCUGGUAGACCAACUGAUGCCACCCAGACCCAUGACCCAUACCAAAGAACUGAUUCAGCUGGUUCUGUGACUCCCACCCAUGAAGUCACUCAGGACAUGAAGACAGUUUUGACACUCCUGUGAUUUCAUCCCUGACCAAAUCAAUCAGCAGUUCCCAUUCCUUAGCACCCCCCACACACCAAAUCAUCCUUAAAAACCCUCACCUCCAAAUUCAUGGGGAGGCAGAUUUGAGAGAUGUUGCCCAUCCUCCCCACUCAGCGGCCCUGCAAUUAUUAAAAUAUUAAAAUUCUUUCUU